rnacentral:rRNA from 1 species
GAUGAACGCUGGCGGCGUGCCUAAUACAUGCAAGUCGAGCGAACGGACGAGAAGCUUGCUUCUCUGAUGUUAGCGGCGGACGGGUGAGUAACACGUGGAUAACCUACCUAUAAGACUGGGAUAACUUCGGGAAACCGGAGCUAAUACCGGAUAAUAUUUUGAACCGCAUGGUUCAAUAGUGAAAGACGGUUUUGCUGUCACUUAUAGAUGGAUCCUCGCUGCAUUAGCUAGUUGGUAAGGUAACGGCUUACCAAGGCAACGAUGCAUAGCCGACCUGAGAGGGUGAUAGGCCACACUGGAACUGAGACACGGUACAGACUCCUACGGGAGGCAGAAGUAGGGAAUCUUCCGCAAUGGGCGAAAGCAUGACGGAGCAACGCCGCGUGAGUGAUGAAGGUCUUCGGAUAGUAAAACUCUGUUAUUAGGGAAGAACAAAUGUGUAAGUAACUAUGCACAUCUUGACGGUACCUAAUCAGAAAGCCACGGCUAACUACGUG